GCAUAUCAAUAAGCGGAGGAAAAGAAACCAACAGGGAUUGCCCUAGUAACGGCGAGUGAAGCGGCAACAGCUCAAAUUUGAAAUCUGGCUCUCGGGCCCGAGUUGUAAUUUGUAGAGGAUACUUUUGAUGCGGUGCCUUCCGAGUUCCCUGGAACGGGACGCCAUAGAGGGUGAGAGCCCCGUCUGGUUGGAUGCCAAAUCUCUGUAAAGUUCCUUCGACGAGUCGAGUAGUUUGGGAAUGCUGCUCUAAAUGGGAGGUAUAUGUCUUCUAAAGCUAAAUACCGGCCAGAGACCGAUAGCGCACAAGUAGAGUGAUCGAAAGAUGAAAAGCACUUUGAAAAGAGAGUUAAAAAGUACGUGAAAUUGUUGAAAGGGAAGCGUUUAUGACCAGACUUGGGCUUGGUUAAUCAUCUGGGGUUCUCCCCAGUGCACUUUUCCAGUCCAGGCCAGCAUCAGUUUUCCCCGGGGGAUAAAGACUUCGGGAAUGUGGCUCUCUUCGGGGAGUGUUAUAGCCCGUUGUGUAAUACCCUGGGGGGGACUGAGGUUCGCGCAUCUGCAAGGAUGCUGGCGUAAUGGUCAUCAACGACCCGUCUUGAAACACGGACC
rnacentral:rRNA from 4 species